UACGAAGGGGGGCUAGCGUUGUUCGGAAUUACUGGGCGUAAAGCGUGCGCAGGCGGCUUCUCAAGUCAGGGGUGAAAGCCCAGAGCUCAACUCUGGAAUUGCCUUUGAGACUGAGUGGCUUGAGUACGAGAGAGGUGAGUGGAAUUCCCAGUGUAGAGGUGAAAUUCGUAGAUAUCAGGAGGAACACCGGUGGCGAAGGCGGUUCUCUGGGCAUGUCCUGACGCUGAGGAGCGAAAGUGUGGGGAGCGAACAGG
rnacentral:rRNA from 1 species